GGUGGGGGGAGGGGAAGUCCCUGAGCCUGGAUUGUGAGAGGGUGCCGGCCAGGCUGAGGGACCCCACCAGUGCACG
rfam:Myotis brandtii contig283409, whole genome shotgun sequence.